CUUGUACUCCCUCCGUCCGAAAAUACUGGUCAUUGAAAUGGAUGUAUCUAGAUGUAUUUUAGUUCUAGACACAUCCAUUUUGAUGACAAGUAAUUCCGGACGGAGGGAGUACUUG
rfam:Triticum aestivum genome assembly, contig: Triticum_aestivum_CS42_TGACv1_scaffold_221637_3B